UUUCUGAAAGUUUAGUCCCUUUGUGCCAAGCAUGUCGUCUUUAGUUGACUGUAGCAUGUUGUUUUCAUGUAAGCUUUUAUUUUCUCAUUCAAUGUCCUAUGCACUUAGUAUUUUCCAUCAUUUCCUUGUUCUGUCCCUUCUGAUUCUGGACAUUAUUUCUAAGCAGAUACAUGAAACAUAUCACUCACAGAAUUCUUGGUAUUAACCAUAUCAUGGGUUACAUAGCAAGAAAGGUCAAGGAGAUUAGGAACAAAUUAAAGUUUAAAAAACUUAGAUUGUAAACUCCAUAAAUACAUAAAACUGAAAAUUAACCUGUAACUAAGUAAUAAGGAAGCUUAAUUAAUAGGAUUUUUAUUAGAUUUGCUUUCUUGGAUUUAAUAUUUGAUAGGAAAAGUAAAUUAAGCAUUUAUAUUUACUACUUGUAUACUCCUGUAUAUCCAUAAUCACACAAUAAAAAUUGUGCUUAUAUUGUCUUUUGUCAUUUAAAUUCUCAUUUUUCAAAACAUACAAUUUUACCAAGUUCUUAAAAAUGUCCAAUAGUAGGAAUUUAUAUUCCAAUGGCUGAGAUUAUUUUAAUAAUUUUCUCUGUAUCUUUAUAAUAAACCUUUAUCACCCAAAUUAAUCCAAGUGUGGCUUUGUUUCUUACAGUCCAAAUCUAACUAAUAAAAAUGCAAUCUGGUUUUAUUUCAUUUUAACAGACACCAUUUUAUUUUUUUACAAAAAUAGGUUCUUAUAUAAUACUGAAUUUUUAAAAAUCAAGUAAAAAUACCCAUUCUCCAAGCAUAUAGGUUGAUAGAAUUUUAACUAUGUUAUGUUUAUAGAGUACUUGCUUAGUAAAUUACAUAAUAAUUUUAAUACAAGACAAUUAUAUGCUACUGCCUUAAAAUGUCCAUACCAAGUAACAAUGGAUAUAUUUACAUCAUGGACAAUGUCUAGUACAUUCCCUGGAUCCAAUACAUAUAUUUUAAAAUAGUUGAAUAUGCUAUAAUAUUUUGACCAAUCAUACAGUUAUGACUCAAUCAAAAAGCAUCUGAGGAGUAUAAUGACUGGGUUAUUUUCAUAUUACAGAAGGAAAAACACAUGAGAUACACAGUAUCUCAGAUUGUCCUCUUAUCAGCUAAAUGGCCCUGUAUAAUAGGAAAAACAGGAGAGAAUAUAAUUCUCAAAAAUAUGAGGAGAGCUGGCUGCAGUUGCAUGUGCCUAUGAUCUCAGCUACUCUGAAAGCUGAGGUGGAAGAAUCACUUCAGCCCAGGAGUUUGAGGCUGCAGUGCACUGUGACCGUGCCUGUGAGCCUGGGAAUGGCCACUGUGCUCCAGCCUGGGCAACAAAGUGAGACCCUGUCUCCAAAAGAAAAAAAAAAAAAGAAACUGAGACUCAAAUAUCAUUGAGGAUUGUUUCUUUUGAACACUUUAUAUCUAUAUUCAAUUUUUUAAAAAUUUAUUUUCUGAGAUGACUGUCGAGUUACAUCAAGUUUUGAGUCGUCAUUUUUAGAGUCUUGUUAACAGAAUUGAUUGACCAUUUUAGCCCAAACAGUUGAACCAUGAUUGCUUGUAGAUGGCGUUUUUACCUAUUUAUUCUUGCCCAGAAGAGUGCUCUGCACCAUGUGGUCCCAACAAUGCUUCUAAUCAUUGUAUUUCUAAAUGCUGUGACAAGAAUGAACAAGAGCUGUUAUGUUCAUGCAAUAGAGUAUUAUCCUACCAUAAAAAAGAAAUAAAAUAGUGAUACAUGCUGCAACAAGGAUGAACUUUAAAAACAUUAUGCUAAGUGAAACAAGCCAUACACAAAAGGCCAUGUAUUACAUGAGUUCAUUCAAAUGAAAUGUUCAGAAAUAGAUAGAUCAGUGGUUACCAAUGGGUAAGGGAAGGAUGGGAGGGAAUGGGGAAUGACUGGAAAUGCAUAUGAGGUUUCUUUUUAGGGUGAUGACAUAUUUUGGACUUAGAUAGUCGUGAUGUUUAUGUAACUCUGUGAAUAUACAAAGACCCAAUGAAUUGUACAUUAAAAAAAUGUGGCAUCUGCAUUAUACCUCAAUAAAAGUGUUAUAAAAGUUACUUAGAGCUAUGUUUUCAUUUCUUGACUAUUAAGCAUUGAUUGAUUCAAUAUGUGUCUCUUUUUUGCAAUUUAUUAAUAAUGUAUUUUUUUGUGACAAUCAUAGUAUUAAAGUUGUUUGAAUUGGAAACCCUUUAAUCAGGCUAUAAUUGAAAUAGUACUCUAGGAAUAAUGCUGGUGACAGUUUUGAGUUAAGAUAAUCUGUUUCAAUAAAUGUUAUUGAAGAUGUGAUGUAUGGCAAAUAAUUUAUUUAUGUGAAUGAGCAAAAUAAAAUAGAAGCGCUAUACUUAAGUAAACAUAGGAAGAGUUUUUUUACUAUUAUUAUACUUUAAGUUCUGGGAUACACGUGCAGAACGUGCAGGUUUGUUACAUAGGUAUACAAGUGCCAUGAUGGUUUGCUGCACCCAUCAACCUGUCAUCUACAUUAGGUAUUUCUCCUAAUGCUAUCCCUCCCCCGGCCCCCUACCCCCUGACAGGCCCCGGUGUGUGAUGUUCCCCUCCCUGUGUCCAUGUGUUCUCAUUGUUAAACUCCCACCUAUGAGUGAGAACAUGCCGUGUUUGGUUUUCUGUUCCUGUGUUAGUUUGCUGAGAAUGAUGGUUUCCAGCUUCAUCCAUGUCCCUGUAAUGGACAUUAACUCAUCCUUUCUAUGGCUGCAUAGUAUUCCAUGGUGUAUAUGUGCCACAUUUUCUUUAUCCAGUCUAUCAUCGACGGGCAUUUAGGUUGGUUCCAAGUCUUUGCUAUUGUGAACAGUGCUGCAAUAAACAUAUGUGUGCAUGUGUCUUUAUAGUAGAAUGAUUUAUAAUCCUUUGGGUAUAUAACCAGUGAUGGGAUGGCUAUGUCAAAUGGUAUUUCUGGUUCUAGAUCCUUGAGGAAUUGCCCCACUUUCUUCCACAAUGGUUGAACUAAUUUACACUCCCACCAACAGUGUAAAAGCAUUCCUAUUUCUCCACAUCCUCUCCAGCAUCUGUUGUUUCCUAACUUUUUAAUGAUCACCAUUCUAACUGGCAUGAAAUGGUAUCUCAUUGUGGUUUUGAUUUGCAUUUCUCUAAUGACCAAUGAUGAGCUUUUUUUCAUAUGUUUGUUGGCUGCAUAAAUGUCUUCCUUUGAGAAAUGUCUGUUCAUAUCCAUUGCCCACUUUUUGAAGGGGUUGUUUAUUUCUUGGAAAUUUGUUUAAGUUCCUCGUAGAUUCUGGAUAUUAGCCCACUGUCAGAUGGAUAGAUUGCCAAAAUUUUCUCAACAUGUAAAGAGUUUUAAUAGGCCAAUGUAUGCCAUGGCGGAACUUAGUUUGUGUUUCCUGUCUUCGGGAAUACCAACUUUACACUCUGCAACUGGGUCUAUUGAAGAAUACUCAUAAUUACAAGAAUAGAUUAGCACAGAGAACGGGCAACCCCUGACAUUUGCUGCUAGUUCCAUAAGUUUUAAACCAAUUCCAUUUUAUUUUGGUGACACAACUGAUAAAUAAAGUCCUCCUAAAUGGACAUUUUAUCCCUCUUACAGCUACCCUCGUGGUUGAACUAUUUAUAAACUAUUCCUUUACAUGCAAGUGGUUGCAUCUUACUAUUAAUAAUUAUGUUGUUUAUUAUUUAGUGUACUUUAGGGUUUUCCCCCUUUCCCAAAUGAAACCAUUUUUCAAUCAAUUUGUCUUAGAUAGGAGAAGUAAACUUUUUCCUAUUUUAUACAGUUCCUUUCUAGGUAGCUUCCAAACGAAUGCCAUUCUUACAGUCUUCUUAAAGUUUUCUUACACACAGAUUGCAUGCUAUCUUUAUACUAUUUCUGUAUGAGAUUUCUCUUAUCUUGGCCACAGCUAAUGAAACCAGGAGUGGUUAUGUAAACCAAACUAAGUCAACUUAUAAAGUGGCUAAAAGAUUGAGAGGUAGCCCAGAUGCAAAACUCUGCCCAAUAGAGGGAGGCUAUAUUGGAAUGUGGCCAAAGCAAUUAAAUUCUUGUUUUUGGAGGGUCUGACUAGGGGAUCUACUGAGGAGGUUAGCAUUUGGUGGUGAGAGAAGAAGCUGAAAGUGAUUGUAGAGAAACUACAAGUCAGGUGAAGACUUUCUCCUACUCCUCUCAGUAGUUGUAGAGUAGGAAGUAGUGUAUGCUUGCUCUCAGGGUCUAAUCAGGUAGUUAAUUAUUGCUAGUGUUUUGGUGUAUAUUUUAAAUGACUUUCCAGUAUCUAGAAAUACUGGCUUUCCCAUGCUUCAAUCACUAUUAUUUACACAAAUACUUAUCAAGUGCCUACAGGCCAAGUGCAUAUUCCAAAUCAGGAUACAUUAAUGAACAGUAGUGCACUCACCUUCCUGGAGUUUAUAUCCCAAUGGCCAAGAUUAUUUUCAUCAUUUUUUCUGUAUCUUAAUAAUUAACUUGUAUUACCUGAAUUAAUCCAAGUGAGCAUUUGUUCCUUGUAGUCUGAGUUUAACAAAUAAAAAUGUGAUUUGUUUAUUUCAUUUUAACAGGCAGUCUUAUAUGUGUGUCUUUUACAAAUAUUGAUUCAUUGAAGUUUCAUGACAAUUUUUAAAAGUAUCCACAUUUUAAUAAGGGGAAAUAAAGGCAAAAAGAGGUUUAAAAAUUGCCUAAAGUAGAUGCUGCUAGUAGUACCACCUAUUACUAGCAGAUGGUGCAAACAGCUUUUUAAUUUAGGUAGUUUGGCUCCAACAGUCUCUUAAUCACUUUUCUAUGCUACCUUUUAAAACAAUUUUGGUAGAAUUCCCUUUGUGUUCUCAGUAAUUACAUUUAUAUGGAUAUGAUUUUAUAAUCCAAUACUCAUCUUUUGUCUCCUAAUUUCAUUUUUCUUGAGGAUAGGUGUCCUAUUCAGUCUUGAAUACACAUCAUCACAACUAUCUACAGCUAGAGGACUACAAAUACUAUAGGAUGAUGAGGUGACAAUAUUAUUGGUUACCUUGUCACCAGUUACAUCAACAGGUUUUGAAAAUGACUGCCAAAAAGUUUAUAAGCUGCAACAUUUUAAGUAAAUUUUAUUAUUAAUGAAUACACAGAAAUUGAAAGUAAACUCAUGGCUUCAACCUUUAUACCAAACCUCCACUCAAGAGAGCAGCAUGGUUUCCAGCGAUGGUUAAACAUUUCCACCAAGAAGCCUUAGUGAAAUUGGAAAGUAAUUGGAAGACAAAACAGAAAGAAAAGGAACCUGACAUCAAAAUAGAGAUUUUGUAACGGCUUAAGAACAGAGACCAGUUUGGAAGAUCAAGAGCCAUUAGGUUACAGAACUGUGAGUGAAUGUCACAUGCAUUUUAACUAGUAUUCCUUCAUUGUUUGAAGAACAAGUGUUCAGACAAUUCAUUCCUCAUGUCACAGAAUGGGCUAUAGAUGAUGAUAGGAUUCUCUCCUGGACCACGCUCUGGUCAUACUCCUCUGAGAUCCCUUUUUGAUUAGGCCCCAACUUGGGUUCUGUUCUUGGCCUAGUUAGUUCAAUUAGGCAAGAAUUCUGCUGGUUCAGUUUAACGAAAAUCCCUUAUCUUUGAUAUCUAAUCAAAUUUCUUAUCCCCCCCACAUUCAGUAUCUUAUCACCCUGGCUGCAUUCAGCAAGAAUUUUGCUAAGUCAGUUUAGCCAGAAUCCCUUCGAGGUUUCCUCUCUAGUAAUUUUCCACCCACUGACCAUCACUUAUCCAAAAUCCCCACUUAUCCUGGUAUUCAGAAUGCAGCCCCGUUCUAUACUGAGGUCUCUCUGUCCCCAGUGCAAUAGUUCCUGAAUAAAAUUUGCCUUCA